rnacentral:lncRNA from 1 species
AUGGAAAGCCACAAUAUGUGCCAAGAGAUUGUUAGACUCAACGAACUGCUACACAGGGAAAGGUCUCUGAGACAUCACGAGAAGAAAGAGUUCGAAAAGCUGAAGGAAGAACUCAGAAACACUCGACGCAAGUUAAGAUCUUCACAAAAUCUACAAACUAACGGCGAUUUACAAGAAACGUCUGAAGGUCCAGAUGAAGAAACGAGUGUAAAAUAUUCACAUCUCUCUUCUGAGGAUGAACUGGAACUUGAUGAACGGAUAAAAACUCACGAAGAAACAAGGAGAAGUCAUGAAAUAAUGCAAAGCAUGAUCGCAGAAAGUGACUCUCAUCUGGUUUUGCAUAAGGAACUGUUAGCUGCAGAAAAAUCCAACGUUCUCGCUGCAAAACAGCAGGCGGAACAUUUUAAACAAGCGUUUCUUACAGAGAAAGACUCUCAUGAAGACACGAAGGCUACUCUUCAUAAAAAACUCAACCGUUUGACAGUGGAUUACGACUCUCUCAAGGUUUCACAUCAGGAACAGAUAAGACAAUAUGAAAUGAGUGUCCUCGCCGCUAAUCAAAGGGCUGAACAUUUAGAGCAGAAGCUUGAAGAAGAAAGAAAAGCUCAUUCAGACUCAGUAGAAGAAAAACUACAAAUGAUUAGAAAUCUGACUGCCCAGAAUCAAGAGCUCAGCGAACAGCUGAUGCAGCAGGAUUCGUCUGUCUUGAAAACCUCAUUUGAAGAACUGAAAAGGAGUUUUCAGAACGCGCUUGAGGAGAAAAAUGGUUCAUACCUUGAACUAAAAGAGAAACAUGAAGCUAGCAAGAAACGGGAACUGUGGUUAGAGAAGGAGUUAGAAAAUGAAAGGAAAGCUCAUGCAGACAAGUUAUAUGAAAAACAGAUCGUUAUUAGGUGUCUGACCGCUGAGAAGGAGGAAAUAAGAACACAGCUGAACCAGGAAAUCUCUCUGAUGAAGACGUCUAUCGAAGAGAUGACAAUUAGUUUUCAGAAAGAGUUGGAAGAGAAAAACGUUUUAUACCAGGAACAACAGACAAAGUAUGAAACUGAUCUAGCUAGCAUGAAAAAACAGGCAGAAGACCUUACGAAGGAGUUAGAACAUGAAAAGAAAAGUUGUUCAGACUCGUUAGAAGAAAUUCAAGAAGUUGUGAGAGGUCUGACCGACGAAAAGGAAGUGCUCACUGAUCGGCUGACUGAAAGUGGAUUUUUUUCCACGUUACAGUUUGUUUUUCUGAUGUUCUUUUCAUUUAUCGUGCUGUCACUGAUGUUUUUAAGUAAGUUUCAUUGA